CAGUAGGGAAUCUUCCACAAUGGACGCAAGUCUGAUGGAGCAACGCCGCGUGAGUGAAGAAGGGUUUCGGCUCGUAAAGCUCUGUUGUUAAAGAAGAACGUGGGUAAGAGUAACUGUUUACCCAGUGACGGUAUUUAACCAGAAAGCCACGGCUAACUACGUACCAG
rnacentral:rRNA from 1 species